UAGUGUUAUGCAUCAAAAAAUGAAUUGGGAAGUAUCUCAUCUCUAGCUACAGCAAGAAAUAGUAGUCCUUGUCCCUGAACUACCCAGGAACCAGUCAGAAGUAUUCCAGUUCAAGAUGGCGACUUCGGAAGGCUCUGAGCUCACCUCCUCCACAGAGCACACGGAAUUUACACGUAUAAAUAGGAUAGUUCCUCCCGAAGAGAUCUGAAGGCUGAUGGAACAGCUACUGAAUAGCCAAAGACAGGAAGAAGGACAAGGCGGAGACACGAAACACUGGAUGGAUACUGAAAAGGACACCCUAGUGGACCAAGCUGUGUAGGAGUACACGGGAUGCAAGUGUUCCAAACAUCCAUCAGCUCCUCGGUUCACCCCAGGUGCUGUAAGCCACACCCAUCCACACCUGCUUCCAGAUGGCCCUCCUUCCACAGCGUCCUAAGAACUGCCACCCUCCUGAGAGCUACUGCCACAAGCAAACUUCAGGUGUUUUCAAGGUAUGUAAGUUGCAUGGUGCAGCCCAAGGUUGGACCACGAACUCAGACCAGCAAAGCCAGAAGUCAGGGGGUUCUGGAAUUGAAGCCAAGAACAUCAGUUAAUCUUUUUCAUCAGUUAAUCUUUGGCUUACUAGGCAGCCAAAGAGGCUGCUGUCAGCUCUCUUCUGGAUUAUGACAACAAGCACCUAAUUGAUCCCUCUGCUUCAAGUCUGCUCCAGUUCAAUCCUUCUACUUCCCAUUCUAAAAUAUACCCUUCAAUACACACUAAUAAAUUGGCUGCCUGGAGACGUAUUCAAAAAGCAGAAACUGAGAGAACUGAGGCAGCUCUUGCCUUAAGGAGCAGACCAGCAGGGAAGUAGACCCAAUCAUUCCAGGACCAAAGGGAAGAGCUAUUACGAAGCAUAAAGAGGGAUCUCUGGAAACAUAAAGCUAAAUGGUCAUGUAACAAAGUUUUGGCCAAUGAAAUAUGAGAAGAGAUCUACUGGAACAUCCUUCCUUUUCUUAACCAUCUUGAAUGAGGGCAAGAGUGACAGCAGCCACUGUGCAGCCAUAAUAGAAAGAACAUGAAAAUCACAGAGAUGCUGGUCCCUACAUCUUUGAGCCAAUGGACCACCUACCUCCAAACUUCUUAUGAAGGCCCCAAACCACAAACACAAAGGAAGCUUCCAUGGAACAGGAUUACAGCACUGCCAGCACCCAGGUGCAACCAGCAGCAGAAAUGGCCAAGACAGGAAACAUCAGCACCAGCAGCGCAGAGACCUCCAUGUAGCAUGAAGAAUUAGUCCACUGAGCAUUGAAGACACAACAAGACAUGUUCCCAUCAAACUGCUCUAAGAAGGCAGCAACCAGACUGUUAAGAUUCACC